GGGUUGUGAGGUUAAGCGACUAAGCGUACACGGUGGAUGCCCUGGCAGUCAGAGGCGAUGAAGGACGUGCUAAUCUGCGAAAAGCGUCGGUAAGGUGAUAUGAACCGUUAUAACCGGCGAUGUCCGAAUGGGGAAACCCAGUGCAAUUCGUUGCACUAUCGUUAACUGAAUACAUAGGUUAACGAGGCGAACCGGGGGAACUGAAACAUCUAAGUACCCCGAGGAAAAGAAAUCAACCGAGAUUCCCCCAGUAGCGGCGAGCGAACGGGGAGCAGCCCAGAGUCUGAAUCAGCUUGUGUGUUAGUGGAACGGUCUGGAAAGUCCGACGGUACAGGGUGAUAGUCCCGUACACCAAAAUGCACAGGUUGUGAACUCGAAGAGUAGGGCGGGACACGUGGUAUCCUGUCUGAAUAUGGGGGGACCAUCCUCCAAGGCUAAAUACUCCUGACUGACCGAUAGUGAACCAGUACCGUGAGGGAAAGGCGAAAAGAACCCCGGCGAGGGGAGUGAAAAAGAACCUGAAACCGUGUACGUACAAGCAGUGGGAGCACCUUCGGGUGUGACUGCGUACCUUUUGUAUAAUGGGUCAGCGACUUAUAUUCUGUAGCAAGGUUAACCGUAUAGGGGAGCCGCAGGGAAACCGAGUCUUAACUGGGCGUUAAGUUGCAGGGUAUAGACCCGAAACCCGGUGAUCUAGCCAUGGGCAGGUUGAAGGUUGGGUAACACUAACUGGAGGACCGAACCGACUAAUGUUGAAAAAUUAGCGGAUGACUUGUGGCUGGGGGUGAAAGGCCAAUCAAACCGGGAGAUAGCUGGUUCUCCCCGAAAGCUAUUUAGGUAGCGCCUCGUGAAUUCAUCUUCGGGGGUAGAGCACUGUUUCGGCUAGGGGGUCAUCCCGACUUACCAACCCGAUGCAAACUACGAAUACCGAAGAAUGUUAUCACGGGAGACACACGGCGGGUGCUAACGUCCGUCGUGAAGAGGGAAACAACCCAGACCGCCAGCUAAGGUCCCAAAGUCAUGGUUAAGUGGGAAACGAUGUGGGAAGGCACAGACAGCCAGGAUGUUGGCUUAGAAGCAGCCAUCAUUUAAAGAAAGCGUAAUAGCUCACUGGUCGAGUCGGCCUGCGCGGAAGAUGUAACGGGGCUAAACCAUGCACCGAAGCUGCGGCAGCGACACUAUGUGUUGUUGGGUAGGGGAGCGUUCUGUAAGCCUGCGAAGGUGACCUGUGAGGGUUGCUGGAGGUAUCAGAAGUGCGAAUGCUGACAUAAGUAACGAUAAAGCGGGUGAAAAGCCCGCUCGCCGGAAGACCAAGGGUUCCUGUCCAACGUUAAUCGGGGCAGGGUGAGUCGACCCCUAAGGCGAGGCCGAAAGGCGUAGUCGAUGGGAAACAGGUUAAUAUUCCUGUACUUGGUGUUACUGCGAAGGGGGGACGGAGAAGGCUAUGUUAGCCGGGCGACGGUUGUCCCGGUUUAAGCAUGUAGGCUGNNNNNNNNNNNNNNNNNNNNNNNNNNNNNNNNNNNNNNNNNNNNNNNNNNNNNNNNNNNNNNNNNNNNNNNNNNNNNNNNNNNNNNNNNNNNNNNNNNNNUCCAGGCAAAUCCGGAUAAUCAAGGCUGAGGUGUGAUGACGAGGCACUACGGUGCUGAAGUAACAAAUGCCCUGCUUCCAGGAAAAGCCUCUAAGCAUCAGGUAACAUCAAAUCGUACCCCAAACCGACACAGGUGGUCAGGUAGAGAAUACCAAGGCGCUUGAGAGAACUCGGGUGAAGGAACUAGGCAAAAUGGUGCCGUAACUUCGGGAGAAGGCACGCUGGUGUGUAGGUGAAGUCCCUGCGGAUGGAGCUGAGACCAGUCGAAGAUACCAGCUGGCUGCAACUGUUUAUUAAAAACACAGCACUGUGCAAACACGAAAGUGGACGUAUACGGUGUGACGCCUGCCCGGUGCCGGAAGGUUAAUUGAUGGGGUUAUCCGUAAGGAGAAGCUCUUGAUCGAAGCCCCGGUAAACGGCGGCCGUAACUAUAACGGUCCUAAGGUAGCGAAAUUCCUUGUCGGGUAAGUUCCGACCUGCACGAAUGGCGUAAUGAUGGCCAGGCUGUCUCCACCCGAGACUCAGUGAAAUUGAACUCGCUGUGAAGAUGCAGUGUACCCGCGGCAAGACGGAAAGACCCCGUGAACCUUUACUAUAGCUUGACACUGAACAUUGAGCCUUGAUGUGUAGGAUAGGUGGGAGGCUUUGAAGCGUGGACGCCAGUCUGCGUGGAGCCAACCUUGAAAUACCACCCUUUAAUGUUUGAUGUUCUAACGUUGGCCCCUUACCGGGGUUGCGGACAGUGUCUGGUGGGUAGUUUGACUGGGGCGGUCUCCUCCCAAAGCGUAACGGAGGAGCACGAAGGUUAGCUAAUCCUGGUCGGACAUCAGGAGGUUAGUGCAAUGGCAUAAGCUAGCUUGACUGCGAGCGUGACGGCGCGAGCAGGUGCGAAAGCAGGUCAUAGUGAUCCGGUGGUUCUGAAUGGAAGGGCCAUCGCUCAACGGAUAAAAGGUACUCCGGGGAUAACAGGCUGAUACCGCCCAAGAGUUCAUAUCGACGGCGGUGUUUGGCACCUCGAUGUCGGCUCAUCACAUCCUGGGGCUGAAGUAGGUCCCAAGGGUAUGGCUGUUCGCCAUUUAAAGUGGUACGCGAGCUGGGUUUAGAACGUCGUGAGACAGUUCGGUCCCUAUCUGCCGUGGGCGCUGGAGAAUUGAGGGGGGCUGCUCCUAGUACGAGAGGACCGGAGUGGACGCAUCACUGGUGUUCGGGUUGUCAUGCCAAUGGCACUGCCCGGUAGCUAAAUGCGGAAGAGAUAAGUGCUGAAAGCAUCUAAGCACGAAACUUGCCCCGAGAUGAGUUCUCCCUGAGACUUUAAGUCUCCUGAAGGAACGUUGAAGACGACGACGUUGAUAGGCCGGGUGUGUAAGCGCAGCGAUGCGUUGAGCUAACCGGUACUAAUGAACCGUGAGGCUUAACCUUACAACGCCGAAG
rnacentral:rRNA from 1 species